rnacentral:rRNA from 1 species
UACGAAGGGUGCAAGCGUUAAUCGGAAUUACUGGGCGUAAAGCGCGCGUAGGCGGUUUAGUAAGUCGGGUGUGAAAGCCCCGGGCUCAACCUGGGAACUGCAUUCGAUACUGCUAGGCUAGAGUAUGAUAGAGGAAAGCGGAAUUUCCGGUGUAGCGGUGAAAUGCGUAGAUAUCGGAAGGAACAUCAGUGGCGAAGGCGGCUUUCUGGAUCAAUACUGACGCUGAGGUGCGAAAGCGUGGGGAGCAAACAGG